CCUACGGGUGGCAGCAGUGGGGGAUAUUGCACAAUGGGGGGAACCCUGAUGCAGCGACGCCGCGUGGGUGAAGAAGCGCCUCGGCGCGUAAAGCCCUGUCAGCAGGGAAGAAAAUGACGGUACCUGAAGAAGAAGCCCCGGCUAACUACGUGCCAGCAGCCGCGGUAAUACGUAGGGGGCAAGCGUUAUCCGGAUUUACUGGGUGGAAAGGGGGCGCAGACGGCGAUGCAAGCCAGGAGUGAAAGCCCGGGGCCCAACCCCGGGACUGCUCUUGGAACUGCGUGGCUGGAGUGCAGGAGGGGCAGGCGGAAUUCCUGGUGUAGCGGUGAAAUGCGUAGAUAUCAGGAGGAACACCGGUGGCGAAGGCGGCCUGCUGGACUGCAACUGACGCUGAGGAGCGAAAGCGUGGGUAGCAAACAGGAUUAGAUACCCCAGUAGUC
rnacentral:rRNA from 1 species